rnacentral:rRNA from 1 species
UCGAGGACGAACGCUGGCGGCGUGCCUAAUACAUGCAAGUCGAACGAACUGUGGAAAGCUUGCUUUCAGAGUUAGUGGCGAACGGGUGAGUAACACGUAAGUAACCUAGCUAUUAGACGAGGAUAACUACUGGAAACGGUAGCUAAGACUGGAUAUGAUAGAAAUAUUUAAAGGAUGCUAAGGCGUCGCUAAUAGAGGGGCUUGCGGCGCAUUAGCUAGUUGGUAGGGUAAAAGCCAACCAAGGCGAUGAUGCGUAGCCGACCUGAGAGGGUGACCGGCCACACUGGGACUGAGACACGGCCCAGACUCCUACGGGAGGCAGCAGUAGGGAAUCUUCGGCAAUGGACGGAAGUCUGACCGAGCAACGCCGCGUGAGUGAAGAAAGUUUUCGGAUUGUAAAGCUCUGUUAUUAGGGAAGAAAGGCUCUAGGAGGAAAUGCUUAGGGAUUGACGGUACCUAAUGAGGAAGCCACGGCUAACUACGUGCCAGCCGCAGC